rnacentral:lncRNA from 1 species
UGACGUUCUUCCCAGCCCAGGCUAUAGUAUGAGCAGUGACCAGAGCCUUUUGUUUCCUUGCCAGCAACUGGUGUGUCUGGUUUCAAUCUCACUGCUGAUUAUGGAGAUGGUGAUUAUAAUUUCUUGAACAAAAGUGUAUUUGCUGCUGUAAUACACCGGGAAUUUGGUGAUGUUGGAGCUACUAAGAUAUGACUCUGCUUUGAUCCGUGAAUACAAAAAAAGAGAAUCAUAUUUCUACAUGUCACAGAAAAGUAGCAGGGGACUUUAUAAAAGCAGCCUCAAGGGGGCCAUGGCUUGGGAGCGACUUCAUAAGGAGCAGAGAGGAGCUGCUAGAGUGGCUUGGUGCCAUUCGCUGUCCCUUGGGCUGCCAGCCACGCGUGUCACUGGGUUUCCUGUGUCCUAGGUAACUCCCUGAGCCUGAUGACCUGGAAUUGGGGUGCUGUGGGACACA